rnacentral:pre_miRNA from 1 species
GGUGAAAAUGCCAGGUCAUAUGGUGAAUAAGUGUCUAACUUUGUAAGAAAUGACCAAAUUGUUUUCCUGAAUAGCUGUAUCAUUUUAUAUUCCCAUCAGCAAU